rnacentral:rRNA from 1 species
AGCAGCCGCGGUAAUUCCAGCUCCAAUAGCGUAUAUUAAAGUUGUUGCAGUUAAAAAGCUCGUAGUUGAAUUUCGGGGUCAGUAAGUUGGUCGUGCCACCGGUAUGUACUGGCUUUACUGAUUCCUCCUUCUUGAAGAACUGUAAUGUCAUUAAUUUGGUGUUGCAGGGAAACAGGACUGUUACUUUGAAAAAUUAGAGUGUUUAAAGCAGGCUAACGCUUGAAUACAUUAGCAUGGAAUAAUGAAAUAGGACGUUUGACCCUAUUUUGUUGGUUUCUAGGAUCGACGUAAUGAUUAAUAGGGAUAGUUGGGGGCAUUAGUAUUCAAUUGUCAGAGGUGAAAUUCUUGGAUUUAUUGAAGACUGACUACUGCGAAAGCAUUUGCCAAGGAUGUUUUCAUUAAUCAAGAACGAAAGUUAGGGGAUCGAAGACGAUCAGAUACCGUCGUAGUCUUAACCAUAAACUAUGCCGACUAGGGAUCGGAUGAUGUUAAUUUUAAAUGACUCAUUCGGCGCCUUACG